GGUCUUGUGACUAGCACUUCCUUCCUGUGGGGAGAGGUUUUGCAUCCUGGGGUUGGAGGAGAGAGGAGCUUGUUCAGCCCAGUCUGGAGUGGCAUGCUCUUCUUGGUUCAGCCCAAAGACACAGGCUUCUAAAGUGUGAGUGGUUUUAUCAGAAAACAGAGGUUUUUUACAGCUGUCGCAGAAGUCCCCAGGAAAUUCAACAUUCAACAGAAGGUAACUUUAGUAGGAAAGGAUCAAUGCCUAUGAGAGGAAGAAGGGCCUACGAAAGCCUUUUUCAAUGGCUUAAGUCCCAGGUUUUCCUCCAUGAAGAAUUUUCUGACCAGAUUAUCCCAGAAUGACAACUUCUUCUAACCUAGAAGACUUGAUGACUUGAUCAGGAGUUCUUAACCUGGGAUUAAAUUGUUUGUCCAGUACAUAGUAGGAGCUUAAUAAAUGUUCAUUGCAUU